GGGCACAUAGCUCAGUUGGUCAGAGCGCCUGCCUUACACGCUGGAGGUCGCCGGUUCGAGCCCGGCUGUGCCCACCG
rnacentral:tRNA from 1 species